UUUCUCCCAUCAUCUCUCCAAUUCAACAACAACCCACCUAACACCACCUCCCGUCAUCUUCUACCCAUUAGAAUUCUGCACUUCUAUCCAGCCCCAUCCCCACCCAACACACCCCACCUCCUUCGCCAGUCCCUUCCCCCCCUCUCCCUCGCCUAAUCCAACAACAACAACCACCGUCUGCCGCACUAUCACAAAACAAUUACUUCUUCCUCUCUUUCAAGAUCUGCCGCACUAUCACCGUUUGCGAAUCAUAUCCGAGUUGAGGACAUUUGUUGGCAGAGGAGGAAGAGGGAGCGUUUUUUUGGUGGAUUCGACGAAAUGUAACGGUAUAAUGUGAAAAAAACUCGGAGGCUUUUAACUUUUUAAUAAAAAUAAAAUUCGAUAAUUAGAAAUUAAAUCUCCAUAAUAUGAUUCGACUGUUUUUAAUGUCUCAAUUUUCAAACCCUUCUCUUUCCUCCCCACACAUUUUUUUUUUCUUUUUUUCUGUGUGUGUGAAAUGAUUUUUGUGGCAGUGAGUGAAAAAAUUAUUUGAUAAAUAGAAGCUAUGGGUAUGGGGUCCAAAAAAUUGCAAAUGUUUGGUUAUACAUAAUGGAAUUCGUUAAUUACACAUUAAUUAAAGAGUAAUUUUCAUUAAUUACAGAGUUGAUUUUCUUAAUGGAAUUCGUGUUCUCUCAGUGGUUUUGUUAAUUACAUAGUGAUUUUCGUUAAUUACAUAAUAUUGUUAUGAUAUUUGAUUUUUUAAUUAUAUUAUGCAUUUAAAAAUCCAGUUUCCAAUAUUUUGGUAAUUUAUACGAGGAUAUCAAUAUUAUUUUAUGGCUCAAAUUUUCAGGACGCAAUAGAAUAACAAGAAGAAGAUGAUUACACGGACUAUGCUCUAGGGUUCAUUGGAGAGAAGAUGAUGUCGUUUAUAGUGGUUUUAUAGCUUUUUUUUCGCAGAAAUUUGAUGUUUUCUUGUUAGAAUUCAUAGUGGUUUUCGAUGUUUAUAUAGUUGUGUAUACAGAGUGGUUUUCAUGUUUAUAUAGUUGUUUUAUACACAGUGGUUUUCAUGUUUAUAUAGUUGUCUAUAUA
rnacentral:lncRNA from 1 species